AAUCAACGCUGGCGGCGUGCCUCAGACAUGCAAGUCGAACGCGAAAUUUCCCUUCGGGGAGAAAGUAGAGUGGCGCACGGGUGAGUAACACGUGGGUAAUUUACCUUCGGGUGGGGAAUAACAGUCGGAAACGACUGCUAAUACCGCAUGAUGCAGCGGCACCACAUGGUGACAGUUGCUAAAGCGGGGGAUCGCAAGACCUCGCGCCUGAAGAGAAGCCCGCGGCAGAUUAGCUAGUUGGUAAGGUAAUGGCUUACCAAGGCAACGAUCUGUAGCCGGCCUGAGAGGGCGGUCGGCCACACUGACACUGAAUAACGGGUCAGACUCCUACGGGAGGCAGUCAGUCGGGAAUUUUGGGCAAUGGGCGCAAGCCUGACCCAGCAACGCCGCGUGAAGGAUGAAGUAUUUCGGUAU
rnacentral:rRNA from 1 species